ensembl:lncRNA
AUGCAACACCAGCUGUCCUGGCCCCAUACAGCGUACCCACGGAAAAGAGGAAGAAAUGAGAACUUACUACUCUCCUAUGCUAUUUUCUUGGAAAAGGGUAGGAAUUUUCUCAGCUAUCUGCAGAUGGAGAAGGUCUUCUAUUCUAGGCUGUAUGAAGCAAACACAACAUCCAACCAACAGCUAGAAGGUUUUCUUUCACCAGAGAAGAGUCUUGCUUUGAAAUGUUUUCACAGUUCCCUUGACGAAAUAUUCUUUCACAGCCUGUGCAUCACUGACUGCUUUGUAUUUCUGGCCUAGCUAAGCAAUUAAAAGAAGACGGAUAGAUGCAUUCCACAUGUGUGAUAACAAAUGGCAUCCUCAAGGUGACAAGGUUUUCUGUGUUAACUGGCUUUGCAGACACUUGCAAGUUUGUGAAAAAUAUUUCCCUUUAUCAGAAGUUUUUUUUUUUCCCUUCUUAAUCUUAAAGGCCAUUUUUCGUCAAAGCAAAUUGGAGGACUCUACAAGUCAUCUUUGAUGGGACAAAACAUAUGUACAUAGUCUCUGUGUGUAAAGGAGCUGCUAUUUUUUUUUAAUGACAGUUUAAAAAUGGCUCAGUUUUAAGCACCAAGCUGUUCACCAUUACAAGGUAUGCUCAUGGUUGCCAUGAAUGACGAGACUUUUGCAGGAAAUGGAAGUGGUUCAUUUGAAUUCUGUGGCUCAUGCUUUUCCAUGAGGUUACUGCAAACUGGUGAGGCCCUACAGAGAUUUUGGGACUCAGGACUUUUUUGGAUCUAGACUGUUCCUAGGAACAGGAAACAAUGGUAAUUUAAGCACUAUUAGGUGCAUAUGGAUGGAGAGAGAACCAGAUUGCAUUAAAUCCCUUUGAAUUUAAUCUUCAGUUUUCAUCAUGUCUUGUUUUGUUUUCUCUUAUUCUCAUGACAAAUUUAUCUACCCUGGACUUUAAUUAGAAUCUCUCUAGUUCUUUGAUUUUAUGCUUAUUAGAUAUGCUAAUGAGACUCAGGGAAUAUUAACCUCUUGCUUUGAUUAGAUACUGUCUUGUGGCUUCAAGAAAUAGACUAGCUGGUAUGAAGCAAUAUACACAGACUUGGAGGAAAAUGAACCUAGAUUCAGGUUUGGCUCAGUGACCUUGGACAAAUGACUUACUCUUAUUCAGCUACUAGCUGCAAAUGUAAAGUGAGGGCAUGGGCUAGAUCACUGUCUCUAAAGGGCAUGAUAUUCCUAGUGAUUGAACACAUGGUUUUGGGGCUGGUGUUGUGGUGCAGUGAAUUGGCUGCUGCCUACUUCUCAUAUGAGUGUGUAUUUAAGUCCUGCUUGCUCCAUUUCUGAUCCAGCUCCCUGCUAAUAUGGCUGGGAAAGCAGUAAAGGAAGGAUGGUCCAAGUGGGACCCUGCAGCCAUAUGGGAGGCCCAGAGUUCCUGGUUCCUGGCUUUGGCUUGCCCUUGCCCCUGGCUGUUGCAGCCAUUUGGGGAGUGAGCCAGAAGAUGGAAGAUUUCUGUCCACCCCUUCUCUUUCUGUAACUUUGACAUCUUUGUGAUCAGGUAGACCUGGAUUUGAUAGAUUUCUUCCACUGUGUAACUGUGAAAUCCUGAGCAUUCUAUGUGUUCUUUCUACAUUUGCUUGUUAUCUUACUUAAAAUAAAAAACAAGUUGGAUUUAAAAAUGAUAGUGAC